rnacentral:rRNA from 1 species
UAGGGAAUCUUCCACAAUGGACGCAAGUCUGAUGGAGCAACGCCGCGUGAGUGAAGAAGGUUUUCGGACCGUAAAGCUCUGUUGUUGGUGAAGAAGGAUAGAGGUAGUAACUGGCCUUUAUUUGACGGUAAUCAACCAGAAAGUCACGGCUAACUACGUGCCAGCAGCCGCGGUAAUCGUAGGUGGCAAGCGUUGUCCGGAUUUAUUGGGCGUAAAGCGAGCGCAGGCGGAAGAAUAAGUCUGAUGUGAAAGCCCUCGGCUUAACCGAGGAAUUGCAUCGGAAACUGUUUUCUUGAGUGCAGAAGAGGAGAGUAGAACUCCAUGUGUAGCGGUGGAAUGCGUAGAUAUAUGGAAGAAUACCAGUGGCGAAGGCGGCUCUCUGGUCUGCAACUGACGCUGAGGCUCGAAAGCAUGGGUAGCGAACAGGAUUAGAUACCCUUGGUAGUCCAUGCCGUAAACGAUGAGUGCUAAGUGUUGGGAGGCUUCCGCCUCUCAGUGCUGCAGCUAACGCAUUAAGCACUCCGCCUGGGGGAGUACGACCGCAAGG